rnacentral:rRNA from 1 species
GACGAACGCUGGCGGCGUGCUUAACACAUGCAAGUCGAACGGAAAGGCCCCUUUGUUGGUACUCUAGUGUCGGACGGGGGAGUAACACGUGCGUAACCUUCCCUUGACUUUGGGAUAACGUUAACUAACUGGAGCCAAUACUGGUAAGGAAUCCUUUCUUCAUGGGGGUGGUUCGAAAGUUUCGGAGGGUUUGGAUGUACUGGCUGCAUAGCUGCUUGCUGGUGGGGUUGUGUAUUACCAAGGCGGUGUCGGGUAGCGGGCCUGAGGGGGCGACCGGCGACACUGGGACUGAGAUACGGCACAGACUGCGACGGGAGGCAGAAGUGGGGAAUAUUGAACGAUGGGCGCAGGCCUGAUGAAGAAGGGCCGCGGGUGGGAUGACGGCGUUCGGGUUGUAAAACGCUUUCAGAAGGGGCGAAGCUUGUCGUGACGGUACCUGAAGAAGAAGCACCGGCUAACUACGUG